GGAAGAGAGAGAAGAGUGAAAAAAAAAAAAGAAGAGAGAGGAAAAUGCGGAGCAGGGCUUCCUUUGUUUCUUUUUCUUUUUUUUUUUCCCUCCAUC
rnacentral:ribozyme from 1 species